rnacentral:rRNA from 1 species
UAGGGAAUCUUCCGCAAUGGACGCAAGUCUGACGGAGCAACGCCGCGUGAGUGAUGAAGGUUUUCGGAUCGUAAAGCUCUGUUGCCCUAGACGAACAGCAAGGAGAGUAACUGCUCUUUGUGUGACGGUAUAGGAGAAGAAAGCCCCGGCUAACUACGUGCCAGCAGCCGCGGUAAUACGUAGGGGGCAAGCGUUGUCCGGAAUUAUUGGGCGUAAAGCGCGCGCAGGCGGUCAAUUAAGUUGGGUGUUUAAGCCCGGGGCUCAACCCCGGUUCGCAUCCAAAACUGGUUGACUUGAGUGUAGGAGAGGAAAGUGGAAUUCCACGUGUAGCGGUGAAAUGCGUAGAGAUGUGGAGGAACACCAGUGGCGAAGGCGACUUUCUGGCCUAUAACUGACGCUGAGGCGCGAAAGCGUGGGGAGCAAACAG